GCGGCAAUAGCUCAGUUGGUAGAGCAUCAGUUUCCCAAGCUGAGGGUCGCGAGUUCGAGCCUCGUUUGCCGCU
rnacentral:tRNA from 2 species